rnacentral:tRNA from 1 species
AUGAUAAAGUGCCUGAUUAAAGGACUAAUUUGAUAGAUUAGAACAUGAUUGAUU